AAGUGGAGCUCAGGUGGUAGAAUUGUAACCCAGACGCCUCUAGAUCAGUUUCUCUCUCAGCACGUUGACUUGUCUAAGAACCCCAAUUUCAAUCCCAAGAGUCAAUUCAAACCAAAGAUAUUUUUGCAGACUCCACCCUGGCUUAAGCAAGUUUCCAGAGCAAAAGACCAUGGAGGAUGAACUAUAUUAAGCAGAAGAUUAGACCCUGAAGGUGGAAAAUGAUAAGGUAGGGGUAUUUCCUUUUGAAAAUAUGGAAUUGCUUUGUAAAGAACUCAAAGCAAUGCACUUGUUAGCAGUAAGAUUCUGGAGGAAAGGGAAAAUUGGCACUGCUAAAACCUACUUCCUCUUUUGAAAAGAAAAGUGGAGAGGGAAGAAUUGAUUUCUGGAACAUAUUGUAUGGAACAAUAUCUUUUUAUUUUAAGGUGGAAUAUUGACAUCAUACCACAGUGAUACUAUUUUUUCCCGUGAUGACAUCAUAACUGUCUCUUCAGUAUUUUUCUUCCAUCCAAAAUACUUCUUGGCUAUGAUUAUGAGAGGUAAACUUAAAAAGUCCCAAGGGCCCAAUAAGUCUUUCAUAAGGAUGGAAAGAAUAUUUACUUUGCCAGUGAACUUUUACAUUUGUAGUGACAGAUCUCAAUAUUAAAGACAGUAAAGUUUGUAGUUUCUUCUUGAAUAUUCAUUUCUCUUUGGCUCCUGAACAUCUACACUUGCAUUAUUUUACUAAACUUUAUACAGAACAGUUAAGGUUCUAACGACCUAGAACUUUGUGUGGAUUUUAACAGCAUAUACAAACUAUGCCAUAUACAAACCAUAACACUGUUCAACAUACCAUACAUCUGCAUAUAAUCAACUUGUGUUCUGAGUGUUUUCCUAAAUUUCAUGUGUGAAAUCCUACUCCCCAAUAUGAUGGUAUGGAGUUGUGGAGAUACUGGGAAUGAAUAAAGAUCAGCAGGUCAGAACCCUUAAUAAUGAGAUGCAUGCACAUAUAAGAGGCUUCCCUUGCCAUGGGAGAACAUAGGUAGAAUGUAACAGCUGUAACCAAUAUUUCACUAGACAUGUAUGUUGUGAGUGCUUUGGUGCUGGAUUUAUCAGCAUUUAUAGUUGAGAAAAAUAAUUUUCUUGUAAGCAGAUAACACUGUGAUAUUUUGUUUAGGGGAGCUGCAAUGUACAAAAACAAAGAUUAUGAACAUUUUGUUGGUGAAUGCUAUACCAGUAGCAAUGGUGGUGGCCACACCAUGAAAAACAGUAUUUACAUUUAUUCAGAUUACAUAUUCAUCUGAAUAAUGUACCUAGCCAUGUGGACAUGUUUCACAAUUUUACUUCUCCCCCUAAAUCAUAUAAUUACUAGCAUGGGUAACCAAUGCAAGUUCGUGCAAUAUAUUGCUACUUCAUCUAGUGACAAUACAUUUUAGAUGAAAUCUUUGACAAAAAUAAGUCUUCACAUGGAAUUAAAAACUAAAGGAAAUAGUGACUCAGACAGAGACAGGGUCCAAGAGACACACACACAUCUCUACACAGUAUACUCAAACCUCCUUGAGGUGUGGUGGCAUACACCUGUAAUCCCAGUACUUGGGAGGCUGAGACAGGAUCACAGUGAGUUCAAGCCAGCCUGGGUUACAUAGUGAGCUGAAGGCCAAUCAGAACUACA